UACGUAGGGUGCAAGCGUUAAUCGGAAUCACUAGGCGUAAAGCGCAGGUAGGCGGUUCGGUAAGUCUCUUGUGAAAUCCCCGGGCUCAACCCUGGGAAUGGCAAUGGAUACUGGCUGGCUAGAGUGUGUCAGAGGAUGGUGGAAUUCCCGGUGUAGCGGUGAAAUGCGUAGAGAUCGGGAGGAACAUCAGUGGCGAAGGCGGCCAUCUGGGGACACA
rnacentral:rRNA from 1 species